rnacentral:rRNA from 1 species
UACGUAGGGUGCGAGCGUUAAUCGGAAUUACUGGGCGUAAAGCGUGCGCAGGCGGUUUUGUAAGUCAGAUGUGAAAUCCCCGGGCUCAACCUGGGAACUGCAUUUGUGACUGCAUGGCUAGAGUACGGUAGAGGGGGAUGGAAUUCCGCGUGUAGCAGUGAAAUGCGUAGAUAUGCGGAGGAACACCGAUGGCGAAGGCAAUCCCCUGGACCUGUACUGACGCUCAUGCACGAAAGCGUGGGGAGCAAACAGG